GUCACUUCUGCUGGAGCGUCUCUCAGUUGACUAUGGAAAGAAAUCCAAACUUGGUUUCACAAUUUAUCCCUCACCACAGGUCUCAACUUCUGUUGUUGAGCCUUACAACAGUGUCCUGUCAACUCAUUCUCUACUUGAGCACACUGAUGUGUCAAUCCUUUUGGACAAUGAAGCCAUCUAUGACAUUUGCAGGCGCUCAUUGGACAUUGAG
rnacentral:misc_RNA from 1 species